rnacentral:other from 1 species
ACGACUGGGCAUUGCCCCCAGUUUCCCCCAAAUUUGGGCAUUGUCCCUGGGUCUUCUAACGGACUGGGCGUUGCCCCGGGACAUUGGGGACUGCCCCCGGGGUCUUGCUCACCUUCAGCAG